ensembl:misc_RNA Metazoa_SRP Metazoan signal recognition particle RNA
GCUGGGCGUGGUUGUGCACGCCUGUAAUCCCAGCUACUCAGGAGGCUGAGGCAGGAGAAUCACUUGAACCCAGGAGGUGGGGGUUGUGGUGAGCCGAGAUCGCACCACUGUACUCCAGCAUGGGUGACAGAGCGAGACUCUGUCUCAA